AGCCUGUCUUGGACCUGGAGUAGACUGACUCUCCUGAUGAUAAGGGCACACAUGUACUCUUCAGAUUAAAUGAUGGGACCGGGAUACCACUUGUUCUUUGGAAGUCUGGUAUGACCUGGGGGGGAGAAAGUACCAUAGAUUUAGGUUAGCCUGAAUUGAGCCUAAUCUGGGGAUGAAUUCUGGUGUUCGAAGUCAGUCAA